AUGCUCACACACACACACACACACACACACACACACGCACACACACACACACACCCCCACCUCCUCCCUCUCCUCACACUCUGGGUGACCCUGACAUCAGCCCUGCACUCUCUCCAUCACUGUGUUGCCUUGGCAACGGGCCCCAGGCCUACAGGUACUUUCUACGAGCAUGAGGCUGGAAUUGCCAUGGUUGCAGUGCUGGCCCGGGUCAGGACCUUACGGGAUCCGACUGUAAAUGAGCAUUGUGGGGCUUUGAUGGGAAUCCGUGAUGGGUUUUCAGUUGCUACGAUCCGCCCCUGCUCCAGAGGCGUGAGCAGUUUGGUGAGUUUCACCAUUUGCUCCAGGAGCUGUGCCUGGACGACGGCUGCUUUCAGCGGUACCACCGUCUUUCCCUCGCCUAGACCUGCUGUCCCGUGUCGGUCCCAGAAUCGCCCGCCUAGACACCAACUACAGGCGCUCAAUCCCACCUGCAGAGCGCCUCUCCAUCUGCCUGUGGUUAGUAAAAGUGUAUAAUACGGUAGUCCUUUAUUGAUACCUGUGCUAAUAUAUGCUAAACUAUUGUUUAUACACUGCUAAUAUGGAUGUGGUACGCUAACAGUGAAUGCCCUCGGUGUUUACUGAUAGCGAACUCUGGUAUGGAGACGACUGUUUAUAAUAUUUCUAGUGAUACUUGAAAGGUCUCAUUAAGUCCCGAUUUAAUUUGAUUUAUGCUGUUAUCAGUGUUAGCAAUGAUAGCAUGGCUGUGGUGUCAUGUAUGCUUGCGUUGUUUUGUGAUAUCAAACUGUGGUAUUAGGACCACUGUGGGUUAAUCUUUGUAGUGAUACACACUCCUUUUUUUUUUUACUUAGACCUGGUUUAAUUCUGGUAUAGUUGAAUAUUUGUAUAUAAUCCCCGCAGCUGUCAGACUCUAUAACAGGGGUCACCAAAACUGAGUGCUAGAUAAAAUUGUGAACCGUUUGGUUCAUCUUUAGUUAUAUGGUUCUAUCUAGCAUAUUCUACCUUGAUAUGCUAUGUCUUAUCACAGGUUAAUUUUUCAAAAAUAUUAACAAUGAUUUAAGGAAGGAAAGGGCUACAUGUCAACAUACAACUCUUUAUUUCUAUUAAUGUCUUACUUAAUUCCUACCUGAUUGACAUGUCUAGGAAUUAUGAGUGAUUGGCACACUGUAGUGGUAAAAGUUGCUACCAAUCAAAUUAUGAUAUGGUAAAGUUAAAACAAAACACCACUGUUUUAUAUUAUAUCUAAUAUAUAUUAUGUAAUUAUCCUUAUAAUUACAAAAUGUUUUAUGUAAGAUUUAUGUUUUGUAAUUUAAAUCUGACAUCACAAAAGUGUUUUGGAAUUGGAAUAAUGUAUUUUGUAACUGCAGUACACAUAAUACUAAUUUUAAACAAUUUUGUCCAGGUUCCUUGCCACCGGGGACUCCUUCAGGACCAUCGCAUUCAGUUUCAGAGUCGGUGUGUCCACGGUGUGCCGGAUCACCCCCCUGGUAGCGACGGCCAUCUGGGACUGUCUAGUGGACGACUUCAUGGCUGUGCCUUCACCUGGAGACUGGCGGUCCAUCACAGAGGGAUUCCAGGAGCGCUGGAACUUCCCUCUCUGCUGUGGAGCUCUGGAUGGGAAGCACGUCCAGACAAAGGCACCCCAUAUAUCAUAUAGGAGACACACACAUUGAUAUACACUAAAUAUUUAUUUCAUUUCUUUUUUUGUGGUGCCCAAAUUUAUGCACCUACUUGAUUUUGUUUAAACAAUUAUUGCACACUUUUUGUAAAUCCAGUAAACUUCUUUUCACUUCUCAAAUAUCACUGUGUGUGUGUUAUGUCCCCUGGCUAGUCUAGGGGGUUGAAGGGACGAACAUAAAGGUGGAUAGUGAAGGAGGAGACAAGAUGGUAAUUCUAAAAAGUUUAUUUAAUGCAGAUGAUGAGGUUUGGGUUCAGACUGAGAUAUAACUUCAGGGAGAGCCAAGGCCAACAUAACAAACAAAACAUCCAUGAUGUAAAAAUAAAAUAAACUUACCUAACCCCAAAGAAAACAAAAUAUACAAGCUAUAACCAUAACCUACCUAACAACACAUAAACAGGAGAAAACGGGACGUCAAAACAAAAGGCAGCUCUCCCCUACAAGCAGUCUGAACAUGAAAACAAAAUGCACAUACAAGUCGCAGAGGCAUGCAAGCCUGCAUAGGUAUGGCAACCAAAAUGGCCAGAGGGCCCAGAAACACAGCUCCACAGGCCUUAAGUAGUGCUCUGCUGAUUAACAAUUAGCUGGGCUCUGAGCAGCAUCCAAUCAGGGCAGAGGAGGUGGAGCCUAGACAAAACAAACAGUAGGGAGAAGAGACAUCCUCCUGGGGGAUGUAACAGUGUGUCUCCUGUGUGAUAUAUUUAACUGACAUUUUUUAUUGUAACAACCAACGAUUUAUAAAGGAAAAUAAUGGCUAUUAACAAGGUUGCCCAAACUUUUGCAUCCCACUGUAUUAGUAUAUUUUUUCAUUAGUAUAAUAUGAAAUAAAUUCUACAUGUGUCAAGUCGUGUGCCAACAUUUGCUGUGUAGUAGAACUGAGACAUUAGUCAUUAUAAAAAUUUAUUUGAAAUAAUAUUAAAAUUCUCAAACAGAAAAACAUUAAACAUAAAUAUAUAAAAUAUAAGUAUUUAAAGAGAGACAGGAAUAAAAAUGAACGGAUGAACAGAGGGACCACUGUGUGCUGUUUAUUAAUAAACAAUAAAAUAUAUUCCUAUAUGACAACAUGCAUAAAAGCAGAAUGGUAUUUGUACAUCAGUGGGAAAAUAGCGGUGGCUUGCUAGCUUUUGUGCGGCUUCCCCGGGUCAGUGAAAAAUUUCAAAAGAGAAAUGAAUGAACUUACCAGGUUGCCCGAUCUCUUCACAUAUCUUCCUCCAAGCUCAGUCCUUUAUAUUCCUGUCUCGGUACAGAAAGCAGCUGGUGUCGUACAGCUCCGGGUGGUUUGCUAAGGCGUUGAUUAGCCUUUCCUCCAUAUUGAAUGAAGUAUGAAGGGCUUUGGCUGAAUCUGCCCUUUUGACCUAGGUCAGAGCCACGUCACCAGGCUCCUGAUUGGUUGUCGCGACGCGAAUUGACGCUGGCGUUCAGAUUUUUCCAACUCGAGCGGUAGACGAAAUACGCGUGUAUGCACAAAAUGCAACACAAAAACUGACGCGCGUGGUUUUAGACGCACUGCUGUGAUGCGCGUUUCACGCGUUUUCGCAUUUUCGCGACGCAAAUCUGCUUCCGAAUUUUCGCGGGACCCGCAAUCGCGCAUCAUCGCGCUUCUACAUUGACUUUACAUGUAAACCUGACGCUCUGGCCGCCUCUAUCGCGUUCGGUGUGAACACACCGUUAGACGGAGUUUCGCUCCGUGUGCGAAGCUUGGCUUGUGUGCUGCAGGCCACCGUCGAGGUAGAUAGCGUCGGGACAGGGAGUUGGAGUGAGAGCUAACUCCAGCUGCGCUUUUCUUUAAGACCCUCCACCGUUUCCAGUUGGAUUAGGCUGGGUUUGGCUGUUAAGUGAACGUUCGGAGCGAGGGAGCAUAGUUAGCCAUCUCGCUGGGAGCUGACGAGCCGAUGGGAGGACUUUAGCUACGACACUUAAUGUUGCCCGUUGCUAGCCUGAGGUUGGAUGCAUUCUACAGACCCGACAUCGAGGACAAAGUGGGUCACCGAGGAAUAGGUUACCCUGCCAUCUAGAUGACGUCCUGGUUGUUCAUCCUCCUGGUUACGCUGUAUGUGAAAGUGUCGCCUUUUCGUGGCCAGUGCUUUUCCCACGCACUGUCGCCAAUAGACAAAGGUAUGGUUUCUAUUUUCCUUGCUGUUGUGAACCUGAGACUGGAUUGCUCACUCCGGCUGCUGUAGCUUUGGUCAGCUUAACGGACUGGUACCCUGCAGUCAGCUCCUGUUCACUACAGUUACACCUUCAAAAAAAGACUGUAUAUGGUUGCAUGUUCAAAGGACAUUUUGUUGGGACUGACUCGUAGGAACUGGGACUAUUACCCUGUGAACAUUGUAAAUUGUGUUAUGUUUGUGAUACAGUGUUAAUCAUUCUAGAGAAGAGAAUUUCUUUGUUUAAUUUCAUUAUUUUAUUUGUUUUGUGAUUUUUUUGGAUCCUCGUUUGUGGCUAGUGUAAAACAAGGGUUUUACAACAGUGGGGUCACAAUUGCCUGUUUCAUUCGUUGAACCUGAUUUCUUUUUAUUUCUUUUGCAUUUUUGUUUCUUGCCAUCCAUGAUUUUCAGGGCCCAUCGUAACUGGUGGAUGGUAAAGUUCAAAGGGCCAUCGGAGCAAAUUAAAGUUUAACACUGUUUAGAAGAGACCGUUUCAUGUUUUUGUCUAACCCAAGUUGCCUUGGAGUAAGGGCACCCUAGCUAUCUGGUUGUGGUACAGAAAAUCAGAGGGAAGGUAGGCUAGGCUGUGUUAAUGUCUGAUAGUAUGGUACAUUCCAGGCAGGCAUCGUUUCUCAAGAUUGAAUCCAUGUAUUGUCUCCUGCUACCAGUUGUAACACUGACAAAUGCAAAAGUAAAAAAAAAUACUGUCAGAAAAUGUCAAUGGCGUCCACCUGUAAAAACCAUGCCCAUUUGGGGUUUUUCUGUUGGUUUUCUGUGUGGACUUGUGCAAAAGAAACAAAAAAUCUUUCAAA
rnacentral:lncRNA from 1 species